UGAAUCAGAAGUUCAAGCCUAGACAAUCUGGCUCCAGAGCCUGUACUCUUUCUGCCUCUGUGCUCAGCUAUUGCUAUUAAUAAAGAUUACUCUCUGAAUCUGACCACAUCCCUCAAGUUUAUGGUCACAAGAGGAAGCCAGGAUCCAAUACAGAUAGGAUCCCACAUUCCACGUAGUUGUGAUGUCUCCUGCAUCUCCUCCAACUGGUGACAGUUUCUUGGUCUUGUUUUUCAUGACUUGACACUUUUAAAGUGGAAUCAUCAGAAGAAAUAAAAAAAUCAUACAAAAAUCAAAAUUCCAAGAUGAGAGAUACAACAUAUCAUAUUAAAAUUUUUUCUAAAAAUUAACUCACCGAAGUUUCCUUCCCUUGCUGGCUUUCCUAUCUACCUUCUUGUGGAUUUUGCUUCGUAACUUCUGGAUUGCAAGCCACUGCCUAGAAAAUUCACAAGCAACAUUAUGCAUCAUGGCUAAAGGCAACAGUUACACAUAUUGACAAAUUCUCACUAACAACCCCUGCAGAAAGAAGUCAUCAACCUACAUCAAGUUCUUCAAGAUAGUGUGGGGCCAAAGUGACUCAUCAGUUGAAGAUUUGUGCAAUGGAACAAAUGUUAGAAGAAGCAGAAGAAGAAGAAAGAGCAGUACCAGCAGUGGUGGCAGCAGCUAGUCAUCUUACUUGAUUCACACAAUGAAAAUGCAACAUAAGAAAAAAAAAAAUCUAGGGAAAUCCAAUUACUGUAAUCUUAAUAUAAUCUUAAUUACCAUAAUCUAUUUUAUUGUAAAGUCAGAUAAAUGUACAAUAUAAUCACCACUUAAAUGCAAUUUGCUCUAUCACAUUAAAUUUAUAGUGAAUAGCUCUCUAUAACAUUCCAGAGAUAUACAAAAUAUCA